rnacentral:rRNA from 1 species
AACGUAGGAGACAAACGUUAUCCGGAGUUACUGGGCGUAAAGGGCGUGUAGGCGGUUUGUUAAGUCUGGCGUGAAAGCUCUCGGCUAAACCGGGAGAGGUCGUUGGAUACUGGCAAACUAGAGGACGGUAGAGGCGUGUGGAAUUCCGGGUGUAGUGGUGAAAUGCGUAGAGAUCCGGAGGAACACCAGUGGCGAAGGCGACACGCUGGGCCGUACCUGACGCUAAAGCGCGACAGCAUGGGGAGCAAACGGGG